UACGUAGGGUGCGAGCGUUGUCCGGAAUUACUGGGCGUAAAGAGCUCGUAGGUGGUUUGUCGCGUUGUCUGUGAAAAACUCACAGCUUAACUGUGGGCGUGCGGGCGAUACGGGGCAGACUGGAGUACUGCAGGGGAGACUGGAAUUCCUGGUGUAGCGGUGGAAUGCGCAGAUAUCAGGAGGGAACACCCGGUGGCGAAAGGCGGCAUCCUGGGACCCAAACA
rnacentral:rRNA from 1 species